AUCUUGUCUACUAUUUCUUUCCAAGUACGGAUGUUAAGGUGAUGGGCAUAGUCUAAGAUUUAUCCUGGAGAAUCAAUAGAACUUUGGUGCCAUCAAUUUCUAAGAAGAUAGAUUUGUUGAAGCCAGCAUAACUAUUCACAAGUAGAAGAGUUUAUGGGAACAGAAAAAAAGGACACUUGUGAAGAUAUUUAAGCAGCUAAUAGACCUCUGGGGAGGUCUGAACAGAAGCAGCAGUAGAACAUGGCACCCCUCUGAGUGACUGAGCAGCCCUAUUCAGGACCACACUGCUCACCUCACAGAAUGAGGAAGGGGCUAGAAAAGGUGCCCCCAACAUUGUCUGCUUUACCUCACCCUGGCCAGCAUGCCACACUGGCAGGGUCCUUUUUGACCACUGUAGUGGGAAAGAAAUCAAUCCUUUUCAAGGUGGGCACGUGGAAUGUAUGUACGUUGACUGAUGGAAACACCAACAGACCUGAAAGGAGAACUGCCCUCAUCGAGAGAGAACUGAGCAGAUACAAUGUCCAGAUUGCUGCUCUCUGUGAGACUCGCCUACACAACGAAGGGCAGCUCACGGAAGGAAAAGCUGGUUACAUGUUCUUCUGGAGUGGUCAUGGCACCAAAGCCAAAUGGGAAGCAGGUGCCAGUUUUGCUAUACAAAAUAGCCUCGUCAAGAAGCUGACCUACCUGCCUAAGGCAGUGAAUGACUGACUGAUGGUGCUCAGGCUCCCCCUGCUUGGCAAAAAGUGCACCACUAUCAUCAGUGUGUAUGCCCCUACCAGGACAACCAUAUUAUUAUUUUUUUUUUUUUUUUUUGUAACUAAAUACUUUGAGGCCCCAUCAAAUAAACUUGUGUUCACGUGGCAAUUUCUGUCAGGAAAGUAAUCCACUCUGAUUUUCUUUAUUUGUUUCUAUUAUAAAGAAUUCCCCAUGGAAACAGACUUCCUACAAUUUCACUGUAAA